rnacentral:rRNA from 1 species
UACGAAGGGUGCAAGCGUUAAUCGGAAUUACUGGGCGUAAAGCGCGCGUAGGUGGUUCGUUAAGUUAGGAGUGAAAGCCCCCGGGCUCAACCUGGGAAUUGCUUCUAAAACUGGCGAGCUAGAGUAUGGUAGAGGGUGGUGGAAUUUCCUGUGUAGCGGUGAAAUGCGUAGAUAUAGGAAGGAACAUCAGUGGCGAAGGCGACCACCUGGACUGAUACUGACACUGAGGUGCGAAAGCGUGGGGAGCAAACAGGAUUAGAUACCCCUGUAGUCCCUGA